GACGAACGCUGGCGGCGUGCUUAACACAUGCAAGUCGAACGGAAAGGCCCUGCUUUUGUGGGGUGCUUGAGUGGCGAACGGGUGAGUAACACGUGAGUAACAUGCCCCUGACUGUGGGAUAACUUCAGGAAACUGGGGCUAAUACCGGAUAGGAGCUACUGCUGCAUGGUGGGGGCUGGAAAGUUUCGGCGGUUGGGGAUGGACUCGCGGCUUAUCAGCUUGUUGGUGGGGUAGUGGAUUACCAAGGCUUUGACGGGUAGCCGGCCUGAGAAGGUGACGGGCCACAUGGGGACUGAAAUGCGACCCAGACUCGUACGGGAGACAGCAGGGGAGAAUAGUGCACAAUGAGCGGGAGGCAGAUGCAACAACGCCGCGUGCUGGAUGAAAGGCUUCGAGUUGGAACCCGCUUUCCCCUGAGACGGAGCGUGAGUGACAGGAAUGGGUGAAUAAGCACGGGCUAACUACGUG
rnacentral:rRNA from 1 species